UACGGAGGGUGCGAGCGUUGUUCGGAAUCACUGGGCGUAAAGCGCGUGUAGGCGGCCCGCUAAGUCUGAUGUGAAAGCCCGAGGCUCACCCUCGGAAGUGCAUUGGAAACUGGCGGACUUGAGUCCCGGAGAGGAGGGUGGAAUUCCUGGUGUAGCGGUGAAAUGCGUAGAUAUCAGGAGGAACACCGGUGGCGAAGGCGGCCCUCUGGACGGUGACUGACGCUGAGACGCGAAAGCGUGGGGAGCAAACAGG
rnacentral:rRNA from 1 species